UACGGGGGGGGCAAGCGUUGUUCGGAAUUAUUGGGCGUAAAGGGCGCGUAGGCGGUUUGACAAGUCUGAUGUGAAAUCUAUGGGCUCAACCCAUAGCCUGCAUUAGAAACUGUCGGGCUUGAGUAUGGGAGAGGUGAGUGGAAUUUCCGGUGUAGCGGUGAAAUGCGUAGAUAUCGGAAGGAACACCAGUGGCGAAGGCGGCUACCUGGACUAACACUGACACUGAGGCGCGAGAGCGUGGGGAGCAAACAGG
rnacentral:rRNA from 1 species